rnacentral:rRNA from 1 species
GACGAACGCUGGCGGCGUGCCUAACACAUGCAAGUCGAACGGAAAGGCCCGGCUUUUGUGGGGUGGUCGAGUGGCGACGGGGGGAGUAACACGUGAGUAACCUGUACCUGACUGUGGGAUAUCUUCAGGAAACAGAGUCUCAUACCGCCUAGGAUCUCUUGCUGCAUGGUGGGCGUGGGUUAGAUUCGGUGGUUGGGGGUGGAAUCGCGGCUUAUCAGCUUGUUGGUGGGGUAGUGGAUGACCAAGGCUAUGACGGGUAGCCGGCCUGGGAGGGUGACCGGCCACGUUAGGCCUGAGAUAAGGCCCAGACUCGAACGGGACGCAAAGGAGGAGAGUAUUACACAAUAGGCGGGAGGCAGGUGUAGCAACGCCGUGUGCGGGAAGACGUGCUUCGGGUAGUGAACCGAUGUUGCCUGAGACGAGGCGAUAGUGACGGUAACGGGUAAAGAAGCACCGGCUAACUACGUG